AAGAUUUUGGCGGUGUCUUAUCAACCCAGGGGAACCUGUCUCAUAACUCGAUAACCCACGAAUUCCUCACCCUCUCUAGAUUCUACAGCCUGUGUACUGCCGUCGUAAGCACACCCCUAAAAGAAAGAAGUGUGCAGACAUGAUUAAACUCAUAUACGUCAGGUCAAAGUGCAGCCCAUGGGAGGGAGAUGAUGGGUUACACCCUAAACAAAGAUACGGAAUAUAGUACUAAAAGCUAUAUAAAUUAUUACUUGGUUGUAACGUUUCUUCAAAACUAAAGUGAAUAUGAAUCUAAG
rnacentral:rRNA from 1 species